rnacentral:rRNA from 1 species
UAGGGAAUCUUCCACAAUGGACGGGAGUCUGAUGGAGCAACGCCGCGUGAGUGAAGAAGGGUUUCGGCUCGUAAAACUCUGUUGUUAAAGAAGAACAUAUCUGAGAGUAACUGUUCAGGUAUUGACGGUAUUUAACCAGAAAGCCACGGCUAACUACGCGCCAG